UACGUAGGCAGCGAGCGUUGUUCGGAGUUACUGGGCGUAAAGAGUGCGUAGGCGGUUUUCUAAGUUUGGUGUGAAAUCUCCCGGCUUAACUGGGAGGGUGCGCCGAAAACUGGAAGGCUUGAGUAUGGGAGAGGUAAGCGGAAUCCUGGUGUAGCGGUGAAAUGCGUAGAUAUCAGGAGGAACACCGGUGGCGAAGGCGGGUCUCUGGGCAGUAACUGACGCUGGAGGAGCGAAAAGCGUGGGGAGCGAACAGG
rnacentral:rRNA from 1 species